GAAUUUGAAGCGAUAAAUUGCAAUUAGUUUCGACCUAAUUUUAGAUGAAAUUCAUCCAUAUUCU
rnacentral:tRNA from 1 species